GUGCCGCUACACGAUAGAGCUGUGCUCCGCUGUAGAACUAGACAGUGAAUUAAUUGACUUGAAAUGACAAGUUAAUUCAAUUCAAGUGUGGCCGGACAAUAUUCAAAUCAAGUAAAUUCAUUGUCUUGUUCUACAGCAGAGCACAGCUCUAUCGUGUAGCGGCACUCCUCACCAAACCAUUAAUUCGGUUCUAAAAAUGUUUGGCAACCUGUAGUGAUCCUGUACACAUGUUCAGUCGAGUGAAGACCGUAUCAUAGGACGUUCAAGACUUCUCAGUUCAAUUGGAUUUCCAGAAAUGUUUUAAUUUAGUAUACAUAGAACUAUGAAAAAUCGAAAAAUGUCGUGUACGGGACCACUACAGGUUGCUAAACAUUAUAGACUGAAUUAAUGGUUGGGUGAUCACCGGCUGACAAGUUCUGUUAACAUAUUGGAGGUCUCCGCCGGCGCCACCAACGCGAUAAAAUGGACGCCUCAAGUGUCUGCUGAAACUAUGAAUACAAUAGUGCUACAACAGCUGUGAUGGAAAGGGUGAUGAGAGAAUGGUCCAAACAGCAAAAGAUUGGGAUGGUGGACAUCGGAAGAGACACAAGCAACAAUUGAAUAUAACUUAAUGGAAGGUGGUUGACUGACUAUACAUAAAGUUGAGCCAGACUUCUGCACAAUGGUUCUCAAAAAAAAUCUUUAGCACAACAGGACACUUGCUUUGACUGAGAAAAUACGACUUUAAGCCAGGAAACAUUCUAAGAAUUCUCUCAACAUCAGGCAUUAGUGCUAACCAUCUUGUUUAUAUUCAAUUUCCACAAAAUAGCAGAAGUCCUUCAGGUCUUCUACUCUUAACUGAAUACAAGUAGAAAUAUGAAUAUAUCUUGACAACAACUGACAAAUACUGUAGUCGCAGGCAGUCUGCACAGCAACCAAAACCAAUCAAUUCUCUGCCUAAGCAUUAAAUUUCCUGAAAGUUUUUAACUUCUUUUCUUUGAGCUCCACCAAAAUUACAGUUUGUAUUAUCACUGCAGAAAAUAACUAAUUUCUUGCCAAGAUCAUGUUCUUUGAUAAUAUAUGUUAAGUAGGUCACCACAAUAUCCGAGGUUUCUCCAGACUGAGACUGGAAGUCAAUGAGUUUUACUUGAACACCUUCAUAGGGCUGAAAGAAGCAAAUCAGUACAGGGAAAAUUUUGUUGCUGCCAUGGUUGCUUGCAUCAGUUAAUAUUGUUUCACAAUGAGCAUCUUUCAACUGUUUAUCCAGUUCUGAUAAGGCAUAUGAAGCAAAUACAUCUGUAACAAUUG